UACGGAGGGAGCUAGCGUUGUUCGGAAUUACGUGGCGUAAAGCGCACGUAGGCGGCUUUGUAAGUUAGAGGUGAAAGCCCGGGGCUCAACCCCGGAAUUGCCUUUAAGACUGCAUCGCUUGAAUCCGGGAGAGGUGAGUGGAAUUCCGAGUGUAGAGGUGAAAUUCGUAGAUAUUCGGAAGAACACCAGUGGCGAAGGCGGCUCACUGGACCGGUAUUGACGCUGAGGUGCGAAAGCGUGGGGAGCAAACAGG
rnacentral:rRNA from 1 species